AUGGCUGAGAAAGAUGGGCAGUUCCUAGGAGCAAUGUGGAGAUCCACGACGGCCACAGCAGCGCGCACCAUCCAUGAUCUAGUGGGGAUGAAAAACCCAACGGGGAUGGGAAAAUUUUGUUCCCCAUGGGCGGGGACGGAGAUGGGCAUGGGGUGGCUGUCGCGGGGACGGGGAUGGGAGUCCAAUACCCACCUGGGUACAGCUUACCCCACUACUAGCAGGCCGCCGCCCGGAUGGAUAUAUGUGGAUCAGGCCCACAGAAAAUACUACCCAGCCUCUCUCGUGGACGGCCCAGAUCCGCUCCGCGCAGCCUCGCCGCCGCGUUCGAGGAGGGAGCCUGUUUGGGAUAUUUGGGAUGCGGGCCAGCGGCGCGGCAACGCCGCGGGUGGUGGGGCGGACGCGCACCUCUACGACGACCCGGACGAUGCCGCCGUACCGGCGCUCCUCGACUCCCACUUCGACGGCGGCAAGUUCGACGCGCCCAAGCACCUUCUCGCCCUCAUCUCUCUGGGCAUCGACGUCGCCCACCUCUCGACGCAGUCUUAUUCCUUCCUGAACACCGUUGCUUCAGUUGAUCAACCGGUGAUUCUUGAAAACCUCGCCAGCAAGACAAUUUGUUCGAAUGACUUGGUGGUGGUGUCGCCUGAUGUUGGAGAUGUGCUGUUUCACAUGGUGCAUGCUAGUUUUAUUUUUCCAUACUUUUAUGUGAUCAGUUCUGUCAGAUUAAACAAGCACAACUUGUCAUGUGCAUUUAUUGCAGGAACUAUUGCCAAGGGAGAUGAGCUGCUGCAUCAAGAAAGAGCAAGAGAAGUCUAUGCAUGUUGUACACCUGCUGUUUAG
rnacentral:rRNA from 1 species